GACGAACGCUGGCGGCGUGCUUAACACAUGCAAGUCGAACGGAAAGGCCCUGCUUUUGUGGGGUGCUCGAGUGGCGAACGGGUGAGUAACACGUGAGUAACCUGCCCUUGACUUUGGGAUAACUUCAGGAAACUGGGGCUAAUACCGGAUAGGAGCUCCUGCUGCAUGGUGGGGGUUGGAAAGUUUCGGUGGUUGUGGAUGGACUCGAGGCUUAUCAGCUUGUUGGGGGGGUAGUGGCUUACCAAGGCUUUGACGGGUAGGCGGCAUGAGAGGGGGACCGGCCACAUUGGUACUACGAUACGGACCAGACUCCUACGGGAGGCAGCAGUGGGAAAUAUUGCACAAUGGGCGGAAGCCUGAUGCAGCAACGCCGCGUGCGGGAUGACGGCCUUCGGGUUGUAAACCGCUUUCGCCUGUGACGAAGCGUGAGUGACGGUAAUGGGUAAAGAAGCACCGGCUAACUACGUG
rnacentral:rRNA from 1 species